rnacentral:rRNA from 1 species
GUCUGUGGCCAUACUACCCGGAACGUGCCUGAUCUCGGAAGCUAAGCAGGUUUGGGCCUGGUUAGUACUUAGAUGGGAGACUGGGAAUAACGGGUGCUGUAGGCU